rnacentral:sRNA from 1 species
AAAGAACUGCGUGCAUGAAUGAAGAAGCACGCAUGGAAGCAGGCCGCCCAUGAUAAUGACCAGAAAGUCAGAUAUUGAGAGGCUUUCCUGAAAUGUCAUUUACUAUUAAUACUCUAUUUGGGUUUUCCCACUGUUUACUCUGAUGACUAUGGUCGUUCGUUGUUGGUUAUUGCCAUGUUACCCUUUCUUAUUAUUC